rfam:Nicotiana attenuata strain TT chromosome 10, whole genome shotgun sequence.
GCUCUCGUAGCUCAGUUGGUUGGAGCGUCUGCUUAGUUAGCGGGGGUCUUGAGUUCGACUCUCAACAAUAAUA